rnacentral:lncRNA from 1 species
CGCAGGCGGCUGUGGUUGUGCGCGGCUUGUCUGGUCAGACCCUCUGGCGGUAGGACUUGGAGUCUCUAUGGUGCCAUCCGGCCGAGUGUGUGCCGCCAGGAAACCGGCACGGGACACCUCCGACUGGGUAGGCAGAGGAGUCUGCUGAGAACCAUCCGCUGGCUGUGCACCACUUUCCCCGCUUCCCGAGCGAACACCUUCAGGCUGGACAGGAACCGCAGCUUGCCCCGGCGGAGCAUUUUGGACUGGCAGAACAGGUGGCUGGGACGCCUUCGCAAAGUCAAUGGCGCCCCUCUGCUUCAGCAUCUCCACGUUGGCUAGGGCGCCGGCCUUCGCCGAUUCAGUCAUCGCCUUUUUGUACUCCGCCGACUGUUUGAAUUUCUCCACAGCGGCGGCAGCGGCACGGGUCCCUUCGUCCCGCAGGCGAGCUAC